UCUCUCUCCUCCUCCUCUCAGCUCUAGACCCCUUCCACCCCUAUCUGUUUCCUCUCCCUCCUCCUCCUCUCAGCUCUAGACCCCUUCCACCCCUAUCUGUUUCCUCUCUCUCCUCCUCCUCCUCAGCUCUAGACCCCUUCCACCUCUGUUUCCUCUCUCCUCCUGUCAGCUCUAGACCCCUUCCACCCCUAUCUGUUUCCUCUCUCUCCUCCUCCUCUCAGCUCUAGACCCCUUCCACCCCUAUCUGUUUCCUCUGUCUCCUCCUCCUCUCAGCUCUAGACCCCUUCCACCCCUAUCUGUUUCUGUCUCUCCUCCUCUCAGCUCUAGACCCCUUCCACCCCUAUCUGUUUCUGUUUCCUCCUCUCAGCUCUAGACCCCUUCCACCCCUAUCUGUUUCCCCAGCUCCUCUCAGCUCUAGACCCCUUCCACCCCUAUCUGUUUCCCUGUCUCUCCUCCUCUCAGCUCUAGACCCCUUGUUUCCGCUGUCUCUCCUCCUCUCAGCUCUAGACCCCUUCCACCCCUAUCUGUUUCCCCUGUCUCUCCUCCUCUCAGCUCUAGACCCCUUCCACCCCUAUCUGUUUCCUCUCUCUCCUCCUCCUCUCAGCUCUAGAACCCUUCCAUCCCCUGUCUCUCCUCCCCCUCUCAGCUCUAGACCCCUUCCACCCCGGGGUCUAUGUGGCUGGCUGGGGGAGCAUGCCUCCCUCUAGUUUGUCCCCUCACCAGGCGACCCUCUCUGCCCAGGCCUCCCUCUCUGCCCAGGCCACAGGCCUGCCUGCCCCCACCACAGGCCUGCCUGCCUGCCCCCAGGGGACCCUCCAACCCCCAGGCAACAUGGGACAGGCCUGCUUUAGUCCCCUGCCAGAUGCCUAUUGUGUGACUGGGACACUGGGCCUGGUCUGCUGGCCUGUUUUGACUGGCUGGCUUGCUGGCAGAUGGCUAACGUUACUGGAAGAAGUCUCAAGUGGGCUGGCUGCAAGACACAUACAGGCCAACCCAAGGCCCCUGACAGAGAGGGCACACUGGGUCUGUCGUGGGGGACUUGAGGACUUGGGGGGGAGAAGCAUCAAGCCACUGCUUUGUUGAGGCUUCUUUGUCGUUGUCCUUUUGGGAGGGGUUUAAUAUCCUCGCUUGUGUUACCUUCUGUGUUAAUAUUAUCAUUGUUAUUUCUUUUAAAUCAGGUUUAUAUAUGUAUGAUUAUGGAAUAUUUUAGGGCUGAUCUGUUGCACAGGUUUGAUUUGUUUUAAAUGGUUUUAAGGCGAUUAUUUGCUUUAAAAAUAUUCAAAAAUAACAAAUACAUUUUGACAGUGGUAUUGUGUACUAGCAUUAAAGGAUCCUCUAGCAUUAAAGGAUCCUCUAGCAUUAAAGGAUCCUCUAGCAUUAAAGGAUCCUCUAGCAUUAAAGGUUUGAGGUGUUGGUUGACUAGACUGAGGGGAGGUUUGAGGAGUUGGUUGACUAGACUAAGAGGGACGGUUUGAGGAGUUGGUUGACUAGACUAAGAGGGAAGGUUUGAGGAGUUGGUUGACUAGACUAAGAGGGAAGGUUUGAGGAGUUGGUUGACCUGACGAAGAGGGAAGGUUUGAGGAGUUGGUUGACCUGACGAAGAGGGAAGGUUUGAGGUGUUGGUUGACUAGACUGAGGGGAGGUUUGAGGUGUUGGUUGACCUGACGAAGAGGGAAGGUUUGAGGUGUUGGUUGACCUGACGAAGAGGGAAGGUUUGGCUAGAAGGAAGAAUCAUAGACGUGGUCGGUUUGAAGUCAGUCAGAAGAGUGGCCUUGUCAUCUAUAAUAAUACAUUUAUGGAGUUGCGUCCUGUUUUAAAAAUGAAGGCUGGGAGGUAGAGAGUGCUUGUUGAGACGGAGUGGCCGAAUUUGAGUUUAUUAUUUCUUGCAAAAUGAAAUGUAGCUCCUUUAAGAGGAGGAAGAAACAAGCAUGAUAAAAUCCUUCUUCAAAUGGUCUCCUGUUCACGCAGCCAUUUUGCAAGUCUUUAUAUCUGUAUAAUGAUGAAAUCUUUUAAUCUGUGUUAUUUUACAGAUUAUUUUUAUGAUAUAAUGUAGGUUGCUAGUAUGUGAUUCGCAUUAUUCUGGCUUCUGCAAAUGUGUUUACCACGAUAUUGACGUUUACCAACCCACUCAUCAUUCUAUCGUUUGAUGGGUUGUAUGUAAUCCACUGUACAGUAAUGGCCCGUAUUUAAGAAAACAGAACGAGUGCUCUGCGGGAAUGGUACAAACAGAGACUAUGGCUACAUCCUAUUUAGCUAUAGGGUUGUGUGGAUAGGAAGGUGGCCUUUCUAUGUCUUCUUACUAUGGCUUCAGGUCAUGUUGAAUGAACUGCUCUGUCUGGGACAGUCUGUCAGUCCUAUGACUACUAGUGUUACUUGCUCCUGAUUUCCCAUUGAAUUGAAUCUCUCUGGGAAGUUUUGUGUUAUUUUUUUUUCCUGUCUUGCAUCAAGAAUCCAAAUCUUUAAGUUUAGUCACACACCCAAGUCACUAGGAGGGUCUUGAAUUGAAACAUAUAUAUAUAUAUAUAUAUAUGAGUUGGGAGAUCUAUACAAACCCAUCCGUCUAAGUGUGCGCAUGCCUAUGAGCUGAUUUUAUUUAUUUUAUUUGAGGUUUUUAUUUAAAAUGUUCAUUUAGUUUUUAUUUUAUCAAUGGGUUUUGAUUUUAAGUGACUGAAUCCAUUGUGAUACCGAUGAUCUCUUGCCUGGUAAGUGUGGUAUUACUGUGAUAUUUUAGAUUGAAAGCUAUGCUGUAGUGCUAUUGGCCGAUUCUGGUUCCAUAUGCAAUGUAGUGACUCAUUGAAACACAAUGGGGUCCUUCCUCAUCUGUGACACUGGGCCUCCCGGCGCCCUCCGACACUUGACCUUUAGGUCACGUGACGUACCCGACUAUUGAAUGCAAUGCACCUCCAUUUGCAUGUCAUUGACAUUGGAAGGAGGGAGACAGAAUGAGAUGGGAGGUGUUGGCGUGGUUACUCAAGCGAGGCAAGCUAGUCUCCCUGCCAGAGGGUGAUGAUGAGCUGUAGAAUUUGUGGUUGGUCGUCAAUUCGUUUUUUGGUUUUUUUUUUAUUAAGCAAUUGAAAAAAUAAACUAACUGAAAAGAGAAGUGGAAAA
ensembl:lncRNA